rnacentral:rRNA from 1 species
UACGUAGGGGGCAAGCGUUGUCCGGAUUUAUUGGGCGUAAAGAGCGUGUAGGCGGCCUGACAAGUCUGCUGUGAAAACUCGAGGCUCAACCUCGAGAUGUCGGCGGAAACUGUCUGGCUUGAGUCCGGAAGAGGAGAGUGGAAUUCCUGGUGUAGCGGUGAAAUGCGCAGAUAUCAGGAGGAACACCGGUGGCGAAGGCGGGUCUCUGGGCCGAUACUGACGCUGAGGAGCGAAAGCGUGGGGAGCGAACAGG